rnacentral:rRNA from 1 species
CAGUAGUCACGAGUUUGAUCCGUGGCUCAGAACGACGCUGGCGGCAUGCCUAACACAUGCAAGUCGAACGAGACCUUCGGGUCUAGUGGCGCACGGGUGCGUAACGCGUGGGAACCUGCCUUUAGGUUCGGAAUAACUCAGAGAAAUUUGAGCUAAUACCGGAUAAUGUCUUCGGACCAAAGAUUUAUCGCCUUUAGAUGGGCCCGCGUUGGAUUAGCUAGUUGGUGGGGUAAAGGCCUACCAAGGCGACGAUCCAUAGCUGGUCUGAGAGGAUGAUCAGCCACACUGGGACUGAGACACGGCCCAGACUCCUACGGGAGGCAGCAGUGGGGAAUAUUGGACAAUGGGCGAAAGCCUGAUCCAGCAAUGCCGCGUGAGUGAUGAAGGCCUUAGGGUUGUAAAGCUCUUUUACCCGAGAUGAUAAUGACAGUAUCGGGAGAAUAAGCUCCGGCUAACUCCGUG